ensembl:lncRNA
CCGCUCCUCCCCUCCCUCCUGGAGUGUGCUAACGCUGUCAAACCGCUGUUUGGCGGUGGCUAGGCAGGGAACGCUGGGAGGUAGGUGGAGGAGCGGGGAUGAGUGCACUCAGAGUGGGAGGAGGUGGUGGGGUGGAGGGUGAGAGGAGGUUGGCAGCCGGUGGGUGCAGAGCACUCACUAAUUUUUCCCUGUUGGUGCUCCAGCCCUAGAACACCCACGGAGUUGGCACCUAUGCUACCUACCAUACUAAAGCACCAGUUCCUGCAUCUACAAAGUCUUUGAAAUGGAUUAUAGAAAUGAUAAGAAAUGGAUAAUAUCAGAGAUUACAAUUAAAACUUGGGAUCUGAAAGGAGUGAUGAAGAUGCAGUUGUCUCCCAAAGAUUCAGCUCAUCCAAUCCCGACACAUAUGGCCAGUUUCUUGGCUCUGCUUCCAGGGACGGGAAGGAUACUGAAAGCUGGCUUCAUGCCACCCACUCACCUCAUCUCUUCAGAGGGAGAGCGUGGGACUGGAACUCUGGGACUCCAAGGAAAAUUAGUCAUUUGUGCAGAAUUAUACAGAGAUUCAAAAUAGCAGCACUCUGGAGAUUCUUGGACUGAGAACAGACAUUUCUGUAAACAACAAAAAUGAGCAAUUGAAAUGUGCAGAACAAGCUUUUAGUUAUGUUUAGAAGCUUCCAAAAGGCCUGCAAGUGCUUAAGAGUGCAGCCUUCACCCCAGAGAAAGGGAUGUCUUACUAAGCCUUUCAGAUUUCUGUGUAGCUUCAGUAAAGGAAAACACCACCACCAUUUUGGCUUGUGGGUCAGGCAGUCAUUACAAAUUGAAGUUCUGAGCUGCAGCUGUCCCAGGCUGCCUCUCUCUGUCUCGCUGACAUAUUGCACUGCCUCAGGGUGCUGACUCUUUCUUUGCUUAGGAACAUGCUGUAGAGUUGCUAUACCAGAGCAGACUAUUGGUCCAAAUUCAGUGUCCUGCCUCCAGCUGUGGCCAAUACCUGGUGCUGCAAAGGAAGGCAGCUGAUAGAGCACCUGAAUGGUUUUUGCAGUGUUGUGACAAAGGGUUGGAAAAUUCCUUCUCAACCCUUGCAGACAAUCAGCCUACACUCUAGUCUAAAGCAUAAAGCUUAAUUGACUUCCCUUAGAUCUUUUUGCUCUGUUGUAGCAGGUGCAGGUGCAAAUAUAUUCAUGUUCAUGAAACUGCUUUGAAUUCUGUCAAACUAUUUGCCUUGAUAAUUUCCUGUUGUUUGAAUUCCACAGAGAGAUUAGUAGGUGUGCCUGUGUAUAUCCAUGCACACACACACAAAUGAAACACAUGCACACAGAGGUCCCGCAUUGUCCCUCUAGUGUUGUCGUUUGUAUGAAAUGAAUAGCUGACCAAAUACGCAUUAAAAACCACACACAGUGACCCUCACUCUCAUUCCCUUCCCCUCUGACUUUGCCCCAUCUCUUCAUUUACUUAUUUCUUUUCCAUCUUCCCUCUCCACCGACUCACUCUUUCUCCUUGUUCAUUCUGUACCCCUUAUUCCUUAUCACCUCCUCUCACUCAUGGGUCCUGAGAACCAGUGGCAGGAACAUUUC